rnacentral:rRNA from 1 species
AUACGGAGGGGGCAAGCGUUGUUCGGAAUUACUGGGCGUAAAGGGCGCGUAGGCGGUCGGGUGUGUCUGGCGUGAAAGCCCUUGGUUCAACCAAGGAAUUGCGUCUUAUACUGCCUGACUUGAGUCCGGGAGAGGAGAGUGGAAUUCCCAGUGUAGCGGUGAAAUGCGUAGAUACUGGGAGGAACACCGGUGGCGAAGGCGGCUCUCUGGACCGGUACUGACGCUGAGGCGCGAAAGCUAGGGGAGCAAACAGGAUUAGAAACCCCGGUAGUCC